rnacentral:lncRNA from 1 species
ACUUCACUUAGCAUAAUCUUCUCUAAUGCCAUCAUUUCCCUGCAAAUGCCGUGAUCUUAUUAUUUUUUUAGUGCUGAGUAAUAUUCCAUUGUAUAUAAAUGCCACAUUUUUUAAUCCAUUCAUCCACUAAAGGGCAUCUAGGUUGGAUCCAAAGUUUAGCUAUUGUGAUUUGUGCUGCUAUAAACAUUGAUGUGGCUGUGUCCCUGUAGUAUGCUGUUUUUAGGUCCUUUGGGUAUUGUCUUAGAAGAGGGAUAGCUGGGUCAAAUGGUGGUUCCAUUCCCAGCUUUCCAAGGAAUCUCCAUACUGCUUUCCAAAUUGGCUGCACUAAUUUGCAGUCCCACCAGCAGUGUAUGACUGUGCCUUUUCCCCCCACAUCCUCACCAACACUUGUUAUUUGUCUUCAUUAUGGCUGCCAUUUUUACUGGGGUGAGAUGGCAUCUUACAGUAGUUUUGAUUUGCAUUUCUCUGAUAGCUAGAGAUGAUGAGCAUUUUUUCGUAUGUUUGUUGAUUGAUUGUAUGUCCUCUUCUGAGAAGUGUCUGUUCAGGUCUUUGGCCCAUUUAUUGAUUGGAUUAUUAUUUUUUUUUUGGUGUUUAUCUUGUUGAGUUCUUUAUAUACCCUAGAGAUUAGUGCUCUAGCUGAUGUGUGAGGGGUAAAAAU